ensembl:lncRNA
GGACUAUCAUCUACACUCUGCCUGGACUAACAUCUACACUCUGCCUGACUAACAUCUACACUCUGCCUGGACUAACAUCUACACUCUGCCUGGAAUAACAUCUUCACUCUACCUGGACUAACAUCUACACUCUGCCUGGACUAACAUCUACACUCUGCCUGGAAUAACUAACAUCUAUACUCUGCCUGGAAUAACAUCUUCACUCUACCUGGACUAACAUCUACACUCUGCCUGGACUAACAUCUACACUCUGCCUGGACUAACAUCUACACUCUGCCUGGACUAACUAAUAUCUACACUCUGCCUGGACUAAUGUGUGUAAGUGACUAGAGGAGUGAUGGAUCACUUAAAGAUGCACUCCAGUGAUUGUGUUACUUUAUCACACAGAUACAGUAAAGGUUUAAAACAAAUCUUCAUGGAGUAGGCCAUUCGAGGAUGCGGUCUGAUGGUGCCCUCUGAUGUCAUCGGCCUCCCCCCUUGCUUGUGAAAACAAUAGAGGAACCCCCCCACUGGUGCCAUGUCAGAGGAUACCUCGACCACCUAUUGAGAUGGACAUAUAGUCUCCCUAACUGACUCCCACAGAGACAGAUAUGUAGAGACUUUGAUGGAAACCUGGAGUGGCUGAGGUUCGGAACUUCGGGAGCAGUGGAGAGGUCAGGGGGAGCGUCCCAGGAACGGCACAGGGGAGG